UACGUAGGGGGCAAGCGUUGUCCGGAUUUAUUGGGCGUAAAGAGCUCGUAGGCGGUUUGUCGCGUCUGUCGUGAAAGCUUGGGGCUUAACCCCAAGUCUGCGGUGGAUACGGGCAGACUAGAGGCAGGUAGGGGAGAACGGAAUUCCCGGUGUAGCGGUGAAAUGCGCAGAUAUCGGGAGGAACACCGGUGGCGAAGGCGGUUAGCUGGGCAGUAGCUGACACUGAGGCGCGACAGCGUGGGGAGCAAACAGG
rnacentral:rRNA from 1 species